rnacentral:lncRNA from 1 species
UCAGCACUUCUCCUUGCUGCCGCCAUGUGAAGAAGGAUGUUUUUGUUUCCUCUUCUGCCAUGAUUGUAAGUUCCUGAGGCCUCCCCAGCCACGCUGAACUGUCUCACAUGAAAUAGAAGCACAUGUGGUACAUGAAAUUUCUCUUGGAUGAUAUAUUAAAAGACGUAUUAAAUUGAUAGCAUCUCUUGAAGUCAAAUAAUAAAGGAGGGGGCGUUGCCAGAGGAGGCAGAUAUUUGGUCAGUGGACUGAGAGAGGAAGAUCUACACUCAAUGUGGGUGAGCACCAUCCAGUUGGCUGCCAUUGCAGCUACAACAAAGCAGGUGGAAAAAUGUGAGAUAACCUUGCUUGCCAAAUCUUCUGGCUUCCUUCUUUUCUCAGUGCUGCAUGCCUCCUCCUAUUCCUCCUGCCUUUGGACAUAGGACUUCAGGUUCUUUGGCCUUUGGACACUUGAACUUUUACCAGUGGCCUGCUGGGGACUCUUGGGCCUUUAGCCACAGAAUGAGGGCUGCACUGUCAGCUUCCCUGGUUUUGAGGCUUUCAGACUUGUACUGAGCCACUACCAGCUUUCCUUUUCCCCAGCUAACAGAGGGCCUAUAGUGAGACUUUGUCUUGUAAUUAUGUGAGCCA